GACAGAGGCCCCGAGCGUUAGGCGGAAUCACUGGGCUUAAAGCGUGUGUAGGCGGGCCCGUAAGUGUCUUGUGAAAUCCCACGGCUCAACCGUGGAACUGCUGGGCAUACUGCGGGUCUUGGGCCAACUAGGGGCAGCCGGAACAAGCGGUGGAGCGGUGAAAUGCGUAGAUAUCGCUUGGAACGCCGAAGGUGAAAACAGGCUGCUGGGGUUGCGCCGACGCUGAGACACGAAAGCGUGGGGAGCAAACAGG
rnacentral:rRNA from 1 species